AGCGAACGCUGGCGGCAGGCUUAACACAUGCAAGUCGAGCGGACCUUUCGGGGUCAGCGGCGGACGGGUGAGUAACGCGUGGGAACGUGCCUUCCGGUUCGGAAUAACCCUGGGAAACUAGGGCUAAUACCGGAUACGCCCUUAUGGGGAAAGGUUUACUGCCGGAAGAUCGGCCCGCGUCUGAUUAGCUAGUUGGUGGGGUAACGGCCUACCAAGGCGACGAUCAGUAGCUGGUCUGAGAGGAUGAUCAGGCACACUGGGACUGAGACACGGCCCAGACUCCUACGGGAGGCAGCAGUGGGGAAUAUUGGACGAUGGGCGCAAGCCUGAUCCAGCCAUGCCGCGUGAGUGAUGAAGGCCUUAGGGUUGUAAAGCUCUUUUAUCCGGGACGAUAAUGACGGUACCGGAGGAAUAAGCCCCGGCUAACUUCGUGCCAGCCGCCGCGGUAA
rnacentral:rRNA from 1 species